UUGAUGCUUUCCUGCUAUUGUGGCCAAACCUGACAAUUCUUUGGUGAUCUAGAUGCAUGAUAUGUACUGAAUAAGAUUAUUUCUUAUUGCAAAGAAAUUAUGGGAAGCAAGCUCACAUUGAUACUGACAAUUAAGAAAUCCUUUGUUUUGUACAGGGUCUAACUUAGCGCUUAGGUAUGGAGCCGCUUUCCGGUGGUGAGGCUGAAAUGUCUGUCCUUAACACACAUUCUGAAAUUGGAGUUCCAGAGCUACUAAAGUUGUAGGAGGUUUCAACAUUUAAAAGGUGUCAAAAUGGAGGGGAGAGAAAGGAUAAGGCCAAUCAGAGCUUCAAGUGCGUCC